GACGAACGCUGGCGGCGUGCUUAACACAUGCAAGUCGAACGCUGAAGCUUGGUGCUUGCACUGGGUGGAUGAGUGGCGAACGGGUGAGUAAUACGUGAGUAACCUGCCCUUGACUCUGGGAUAAGCCUGGGAAACUGGGUCUAAUACUGGAUACGACAUGCCACUGCAUGGUGGUGUGUGGAAAGGGUUUUACUGGUUUUGGAUGGGCUCACGGCCUAUCAGCUUGUUGGUGGGGUAAUGGCCUACCAAGGCGACGACGGGUAGCCGGCCUGAGAGGGUGACCGGCCACACUGGGACUGAGACACGGCCCAGACUCCUACGGGAGGCAGCAGUGGGGAAUAUUGCACAAUGGGCGGAAGCCUGAUGCAGCGACGCCGCGUGAGGGAUGACGGCCUUCGGGUUGUAAACCUCUUUCAGCACGGAAGAAGCGAGAGUGACGGUACGUGCAGAAGAAGCGCCGGCUAACUACGUG
rnacentral:rRNA from 1 species